CCUUCAUAACUUCAUUCAUGUUUGUGAAUUGUGGUUGAUGUUCAAGCGGCUUGAACAUCAACCACAAUUCACAAACGUGAAUGAAGUUAUGAAGG